rnacentral:rRNA from 1 species
AGAGUUUGAUCMUGGCUCAGAUUGAACGCUGGCGGUAUGCUUAAGACAUGCAAGUCGUGCGGUAGAAGGCUUUGGCCUUUGAGAGCGGCGGACGGGUGAGUAACACGUGGGAAUCUGCCUAUUAGUGGGGGACAGCCCAGCGAAAGCUGGAUUAAUACCGCAUACGCCCUACGGGGGAAAGCAGCAAUGCGCUAAUAGAUGAGCCCGCGUAAGAUUAGCUAGUUGGUAAGGUAAAGGCUUACCAAGGCGACGAUCUUUAGCUGGUCUGAGAGGAUGGCCAGCCACAUCGGGACUGAGACACGGCCCGGACUCCUACGGGAGGCAGCAGUCGGGAAUAUUGGACAAUGGGCGCAAGCCUGAUCCAGCAAUACCGCGUGUGUGAAGAAGGCCUGCGGGUUGUAAAGCACUUUCAGUUGGGAAGAUAAUGACGUUACCAACAGAAGAAGCACCGGCUAACUCCGUGCCAGCAGCCGCGGUAAUACGGAGGGUGCAAGCGUUAAUCGGAAUUACUGGGCGUAAAGCGUGCGUAGGCGGCCUGUUAAGUCAGAUGUGAAAGCCCCGGGCUUAACCUGGGAACUGCAUCUGAUACUGGGAGGCUAGAAUGUGGGAGAGGAGAGUGGAAUUUCCGGUGUAGCGGUGAAAUGCAUAGAGAUCGGAAGGAACACCAGUGGCGAAGGCGGCUCUCUGGACCAACAUUGACGCUGAGGCACGAAAGCGUGGGUAGCAAACAGGAUUAGAUACCCUGGUAGUCCACGCCGUAAACGAUGUCAACUAGCCGCCGGCCUCACUCUAGAGGUCGGUGGUGCAGCUAACGCAUUAAGUUGACCGCCUGGGGAGUAUGGCCGCAAGGUUGAAACUCAAAGGAAUUGACGGGGGCCCGCACAAGCGGUGGAGCAUGUGGUUUAAUUCGAUGCAACGCGAAGAACCUUACCUGGUCUUGACAUGUAGUGAACUUAGCAGAAAUGUUUUGGUGCCUUCGGGAACACUAACACAGGUGCUGCAUGGCUGUCGUCAGCUCGUGUCGUGAGAUGUUGGGUUAAGUCCCGYAACGAGCGCAACCCUUGUCAUUAGUUGCUACGAAAGGGCACUCUAAUGAGACUGCCGGUGACAAACCGGAGGAAGGUGGGGAUGACGUCAAGUCCUCAUGGCCCUUAUAGGUGGGGCUACACACGUCAUACAAUGGCUGAUACAAAGGGUUGCCAACCCGCGAGGGGGAGCUAAUCCCAUAAAGCCAGUCGUAGUCCGGAUCGCAGUCUGCAACUCGACUGCGUGAAGUCGGAAUCGCUAGUAAUCGUGGAUCAGAAUGUCACGGUGAAUACGUUCCCGGGUCUUGUACACACCGCCCGUCACACCAUGGGAGCGGGUUCUGCCAGAAGUAGUUAGCCUAACCGCAAGGAGGGCGAUUACCACGGCAGGGUUCGUGACUGGGGUGAAGUCGUAACAAGGUAACC